CCCUCCAUAGCUUAACGGUAAAGCAACGGCCUUUUAAGCCGCUGAUCGAGGUUCGAUCCCUCGUGGGGGGA
rnacentral:tRNA from 1 species